ACUAUAUACAGAGUCCAUUUUAGAUUUCAUACAGAAGCUGGAACUGCUAUUAAAUCCUCCCUUUCACAUACCCUGCAAAGGCAAUCUGCUCUCCUUUGCUGACUGAUGGGAAAAUUCUUAGUUUCCAAUGUCAAAACAGAGAAAAGCAUGGAAGGAAGAGGACAUGGAACAAGGUUUCUCAAGAAGGACUUAUUCAAACUCACUUUUGAAUGUUGGAAUCAGCUCAAGAAAACCGAAGCCAGAGAUAAAUAUGAUUACUUUGAUAUAUGUCAGAUGAAGGUUUAAAAAGAAAUUAGUAUCAAAUCUCUUCAUCUAUUCUUUUUGCAUUGUAAAUAUUUUAAUUUGUAAAGUUCAAAUAAAUAUCAACGUGUAAAU